GCCGUUAUAGUUUAUUAAAAUAUUAUCUUGUGGAGAUAAAGAAUCUAUGGCAGUA
rnacentral:tRNA from 1 species